rnacentral:rRNA from 1 species
GACGAACGCUGGCGGCGUGCUUAACACAUGCAAGUCGAACGGAAAGGCCCUGCUUUUGUGGGGUGCUCGAGUGGCGAACGGGUGAGUAACACGUGAGUAACCUGCCCUUGACUUUGGGAUAACUUCAGGAAACUGGGGCUGAUACCGGAUAGGAGCUCCUGCUGCAUGGUGGGGGUUGGAAAGUUUCGGCGGUUGGGGAUGGACUCGCGGCUUAUCAGCUUGUUGGUGGGGUAGUGGCUUACCAAGGCUUUGACGGGUAGCCGGCCUGAGAGGGUGACCGGCCACAUUGGGACUGAGAUACGGCCCAGACUCCUACGGGAGGCGGCAGUGGGGAAUAUUGCACAAUGGGCGGAAGCCUGAUGCAGCAACGCCGCGUGCGGGAUGACGGCCUUCGGGUUGUAAACCGCUUUCGCCUGUGACGAAGCGUGAGUGACGGUAAUGGGUAAAGAAGCACCGGCUAACUACGUG